rnacentral:rRNA from 1 species
UGUAAAGUUCAAGCUCCGAUUAUGAGGGCGAACCGCGAAUGGCUCAUUAAAUCAGUCAUAAUCUACUUGAUUGUUUGAAGGUUAUAUGGAUAACUGUGGUAAUUCUAGAGCUAAUACAUGCACUAAGGGGGCGACUCUAGCAAUAGAGAAGCUCUGCGUUUAUUAGACUAAGACCAAUGAUUGGGGCAACUCAAUCUACGUUAAGGUGACUCUGAAUAAAUAAUGGGUGAAAGCCCAUGUUGCUGACCUGACAUACCAAAAAGUGUUCACGCACUUGUCAGGCAAUUCAAUCGAGUGUCUGCUCUAUCAACUGUGGAUGGUAGGGUAAUUGCCUACCAUGGUGAUGACGGGUAACGGGGAGUUAGGGCUCGACUCCGGAGAACAAGCCUGAGAAACGGCUAGUAGGACUACGGUCUGCAGCAGGCGCGAAAAUUACACAAUGCUAGAUUACAAUUAGCGAUGUAGUGAAGAAAAAUAACGAUGUACUUGCGUUUAAACAUGCUAGUACAAUUGGAAUGAGACGACUCUAAACCAGUCAGUCGAGUAACAAAUGGAGGGCAAGUCUGGUGCCAGCAGCCGCGGUAAUUCCAGCUCCAUUAGCAUACAUUAAAGUUGUUGCGGUUAAAAAGCUCGUAGUUGAAUUUUAGGCGGGCUUUAUUGGGAUGCCUCCGAAAAGACCCUUGUUACUACGGUUUCAUGUGGUUGGUUGUAUUCCCUAUAGAAAUCCGCUGUUUCGUCACUUAACCGAGUGCGAAGCGGGCUGGUACAAAGUCAUAUUCGUAUGUCUUGUUUCAGCAUGUUUACCUUGAGAAAAUUAGAGUGCUCACAGCAGGCAGUUGGGGUGUAAAAGCCUCUUUUUGCUUGAAUAAUGUUGCAUGGAAUAAUAGAAUACGGCCUCGGUUCUAUUCUGUUGGUCUUAUAGAACAACAAACAAGUUGAUUAAAGCGAUCAAAAGUUAGCUUGUGAGUGUGGUUCAAUGCGACCGGCUUGCCGUUGGUUAGAUUAUGUUGCCUAGAGGUAAAACUUUAGAGCCUUGUCUUCCAGCGCGUAACCGUCAUCGUUUUGUUCCAUCUAAAGCACUCCUUGUUAUACUAGCUUUCUAAUCAACUGAGGCAAUGGUUAAAAGAAAUAGUCGCGGCGGCAUCAGUACUGCAUCGUGAGAGGUGAAAUUCUUAGACCGAUGCAAGACUAACUGAAGCGAAAGCGUUUGCCGAGGAUAUUUUCAUUAAUCAAGAACGAAAGUUAGAGGUUCGAAGGCGAUCAGAUACCGCCCUAGUUCUAACCAUAAACGUUGCCAACUAGCAAUUGGGUUGCGAUUCCUUUAAUCGAAGCGUAAAAAACUUCGAUCAUUAUGAUCCACCCAGCGGCUCUCGUAGGGAAACCAAAGUGUUUGGGUUCCGGGGGAAGUAUGAUUGCAAAGUUGAAACUUAAAGGAAUUGACGGAAGGGCACCACCAGGAGUGGAGCCUGCGGCUUAAUUUGACUCAACACGGGGAAACUUACUAGAUUAGAACUCUGGAAUGAUUGACAGAUUGAUAGCUCUUUCUUGAUUCAGAGGAUGGUGGUGCAUGGCCGUUCUUGAUUCGUAUUCCGAAACGUCUGCUUAAUUGCGAUAACGAGUGAGACCUCACCCAACUAACUAGUCGUUUGGUGCGCUGUGGGACGCUAAAGUCUCUGUAGGAUUUGUUAUGCGUUGGGGGCAACCUUGGCGUAUGACUGCCUGCUUGAGAUGUCCUCUGCUCGCCUGCGGACUUCUUAGAGGGAUAAACGGUGUUUUAGCCGUAAGAAACGAG